UGGGGAAUAUUGCACAAUGGGCGCAAGCCUGAUGCAGCCAUGCCGCGUGUGUGAAGAAGGCCUUCGGGUUGUAAAGCACUUUCAGCGGGGAGGAAGGCGUUAAGGUUAAUAACCUUGGUGAUUGACGUUACCCGCAGAAGAAGCACCGGCUAACUCCGUGCCAGCAGCCGCGGUAAUACGGAGGGUGCAAGCGUUAAUCGGAAUUACUGGGCGUAAAGCGCACGCAGGCGGUCUGUCAAGUCGGAUGUGAAAUCCCCGGGCUCAACCUGGGAACUGCAUUCGAAACUGGCAGGCUAGAGUCUUGUAGAGGGGGGUAGAAUUCCAGGUGUAGCGGUGAAAUGCGUAGAGAUCUGGAGGAAUACCGGUGGCGAAGGCGGCCCCCUGGACAAAGACUGACGCUCAGGUGCGAAAGCGUGGGGAGCAAACAGG
rnacentral:rRNA from 1 species